rnacentral:rRNA from 2 species
CAGCCGCCGCGGUAAUACCAGCACCCCGAGUGGUCGGGACGUUUAUUGGGCCUAAAGCAUCCGUAGCCGGUUCUACAAGUCUUCCGUUAAAUCCACCUGCUUAACAGAUGGGCUGCGGAAGAUACUAUAGAGCUAGGAGGCGGGAGAGGCAAGCGGUACUCGAUGGGUAGGGGUAAAAUCCGUUGAUCCAUUGAAGACCACCAGUGGCGAAGGCGGCUUGCCAGAACGCGCUCGACGGUGAGGGAUGAAAGCUGGGGGAGCAAACCGGAUUAGAUACCCGGGUAGUCCCAGCUGUAAACGAUGCAGACUCGGUGAUGAAUUGGCUUGUGGCCAACGCAGUGCUGCAGGGAAGCCGUUAAGUUUGCCGCCUGGGAAGUACGUACACAAGUAUGAAACUUAAAGGAAUUGGCGGGGGAGCAC